GAUGGUUUGGUGUUACCACAUGAUAUGACUGCAAUAUGUAGGAGUGUCCAGUGGCUUGGUGGUUAAGAUGAACGCCAUGUGAGCACAGCAUUCCUCGGGUCAGUGCUAGGGCUUAACUUGUUAUUGAGGAAGAGAUCCUGUUGUAGUUGACAGCUGAGUGCUAACUCGACCAGACAAAAACAGCUUUGCUCCUGAUACACCACUGAGGCGACACUUUCAUUCUGUGCCACAGAUCUACAAACCUGAGAGAAAUGGUGUGACUGAUCAUCAACGCCUGCAGGUACGUGGUGCAGAAGAUCCAGGCUGCAGUGAGAGGUGAGGUGCAGCCAGAGAAAACAAGCACCACAGCAUGUGGCCUGGCAAAAGCAGAAAGGGAUGGCAGCCUCAACGCUGAUGAGUCAACCUUGAUUCCCCAACCAACAGAGAUGGUCGAUGUGCUGCGGAAGGAAGAGUGUGGAUCCUGAAAGUAAACUGAGAGCUGGAGGGUAGAGUGGAAGGUCCAUAAUGAGAAGUCAAACACAUGAAACACACACACACACACACACACACACACAGAGAAACAAACACUUCCUGGUUGAUGCUCUUCUUCAACUUGCCACUUUUAUAAAACAACAGACUUGGUGAGCUGUGAGGCUUCAUGAUCUUUUCAAACUAAAAAUCUGGCUUGGAAGGUAGUAUCGGACACACCAGGUUUUAAUGAUAUUCCCACAUUAAAAUUAAUAUCACAUAAUGUUGGUGAGCUGACUGUAUAUGGUUCUUUUCAAAUGUAAUGUAAAAAUCAGCAAUUCCGUGUUGCAGAUUUGUUUUUUGAUUUGUUUUUCAAAUAUCAUCUUUGCACUGACAGGCAAAUUUGUCUGUCUGUGUUCCCUCCACAGUCUCAACCUGACACAAACAAACACAGACACAAACAUUCAUAAAAACCCAGACAAAUAAACUCUGAAUUGGAUUGAACUCCCACCUGCUUCCAGCUCUUGGUUUUCUUUCCUGCUCAUCCUUCAUCCAGUGGAGAGAGCAGUCCGAGUUGGCAGAGAGAAUGAAAGCUUGAUCACCAAUUCCCCAUCAUAGGAACUGAUCAGUCUGGAUAAAUAUUGAGACUCUGCUGACGAAGCUGCAGCAAGUCAUAUAUUCAUGUAUUCAUAGACCUGUACUUAAAAAAUAGCAUAUA